GAUUCUAGCCAUCUGUCGUGUUGUUCUGUUGCCACGAAGAGAGAGAGAGAGGGUGAGAUCGGUAGCCUAAAACAGAGAGCGAGAGAGAGAGAUUUUGGUUGUAGGCUGCUGAUGAGGUUGGGUUUUGAUCAGGCAGCAAAGAUAAUUAGUUUUGGGCGUGGAUUCAGAUUUUCUUCUGUUCUGUCUUCAUUCAUUGGCUCUGAAGAGUUGAGUUUCAGUUUAUCUAAUUUGUGUUUGUUAUGGUUGUCUUGCAGUUGGCUACUCGCUAAUGUUUGGUUGGAACGCUAGGAUUCUUUAGCAGAGAUGGAGCUAUCCCCGGUCUCACUUUGACAAUUGAAGGAAAACUCCCUAAAGGGUUUGAGAGGGUCAAGGAUAUAGAAAUCUACCAUUGUUGGGAUCAUAAUCGUUCAUUACGUGUUCCUGCCUCUUAAAGGCAUAUUGAUCAUUAAAGGGGUGCUUAAAUUUUGCUUAGUGCAUUCUGAUCCAUUGUAUCUAUUUGUUCUUCUGAGUCUGCACUCCCACCUGCAAUGAAUGUAGGAACCAUCACCCAGUUGUUCGGAGCAGGAGAGAAUGAGUGUUCAAUAAUCCUGCUGUGGACUAAAGUAUUUGCUUCAGUAUCCCUCACUUUAUGGUCUGCCUUCUUGAUGUGGUUUGUGGCCGGGCAAGUGUGAAACAGCUACAAAUGUGCAAUUCAUUUUAUAUAUUAGGCAAACUUUGAAUUCACCAAACUAUCUGUUCUAUAAAUCAGGUUCCAGGUUCAACCACAUAUAGUCUAGCGCUAUACUAUAUGAUGAGUUCUCUGGUUGAAGAUGCACCCUUACUGGAGAAUUUUAUUAACGGGAAAACUUAUAUUCUCCCUUUUUAGAGAAUUUUAUAAAGUAUCUGGAUCCAAAUUUGAAACUUAUAUCAUCUCUAUCUCCCUUUCUGUCUCUUAAUGAUCUUGAAAAUGAAAUACAUCUUAUCGGUGAAACAGAUUCACUGCCAUUCUGCCUCUCUCUUCUUCUUCUCCUUUUUUGUUUUUUUCCCUUCCCUUUAACAUGAUAUUUUUUUUCCGUCAUAAAAUUCCAUCCCUCAGUAUGAUAUGAUUUGGGUCAUGAGAAUUGAUGAUUAUGGCCCCAGGGUUGAUGGAUUGUUAAGCAGAGUGGGAAAGAAAGCAUGCCUCAUUUGGUCAAGCACUUGAAAUAAAUUACUUUUAUGGGAAGAAUUACUUGGAGGUACAAUUUCAAAUUUUCAGUAAUAGCUAUGAAUGCAUUUUAAAAUAUGUUGCUUGGUUGUGUAAGCAUAACUUGCAUAUUAAAGUAUAAGGUUUCAGACUAGCAUAUGUUCUUUAAUAUGUCAAAGUAGAAGUACCAUCUCUGCUUUUGAGUGACAGUUCUGUAAUAGAACAGUGGGAGUGGAUUUCUAUAUAGGAGUGCCUGCGAUACGAAAGCAAGCAUUCAAACCUAGAGCAAGAAAACAAUAUCGCGGCAUCAUUGGUCAAGAAACAUUGGCUGGAGCUGCUUCUUUAGAUACAUCCAGUCAGGUUUACCCAUUAAAAUUAUGCGCACAACCCACAAAGCAGAGUCAGAAGCUGGCUUUGCGAGCAAAUCCACAGAGAGCUUCUGUGGAUGAGAACAACAAGAGUGAGGCUGGAAAUGCAUGCGUCCAGCAUAAGAGGAGGGUAGUGCUGAUGUAACCAAUGCUUUCUGUAAACCUUCAUAUGGGGACUGCUUCAAUGCAACUGAAGUUCAGUUCUUAUUCCAAUGGCAAUGCUAAUAUGAAUGGAAAUGGGAAGGGAGUAAAUGGAAAUGGAGUGAAGAGAAAAAGCCAUCGUGAAGAGCUGCUGGUAUGAGGAAGAAAUUUGCUCUUAAUAAGGACAGUUACUUUUAUAUACAUUUCCAGUAGAAUGAGUUCAUUAGUUUAGUAGGACUCUUGGCUUCUACACUAUCUUUUUUCCUUUUUUUUUUUUCUUUUUUCUUCUGGGGUUUCCUAUUUCAUUGUACAUAUAGCCGACUUACUAUUUUAAGAUCUGAGAUUAAAAGUUCGUAGUUCACAGAU